UACGUAGGGUGCAAGCGUUGUCCGGAAUUAUUGGGCGUAAAGAGCUCGUAGGCGGUGUGUCGCGUCGGCCGUGAAAACCUGCAGCUUAACUGUGGGCUUGCGGUCGAUACGGGCAUCACUGGAGUUCGGCAGGGGAGACUGGAAUUCCUGGUGUAGCGGUGGAAUGCGCAGAUAUCAGGAGGAACACCGGUGGCGAAGGCGGGUCUCUGGGCAGUAACUGACGCUGAGGAGCGAAAGCGUGGGGAGCGAACAGG
rnacentral:rRNA from 1 species